UGGGGAAUUUUGCACAAUGGGGGAAACCCUGAUGCAGCGACGCCGCGUGAUUUAGAAGGCCUUCGGGUUGUAAAAAUCUUUUGUAUGGGAAGAAAAUGACAGUACCAUACGAAUAAGGACCGGCUAAUUACGUGCCAGCAGCCGCGGUAAUACGUAAGGUCCGAGCGUUGUCCGGAAUCAUUGGGCGUAAAGGGUACGUAGGCGGAUAAGCAAGUUAGAAGUGAAAUCCUAUAGCUCAACUAUAGUAAGCUUUUAAAACUGCUCAUCUUGAGGUAUGGAAUGGAAAGUGGAAUUCCUAGUGUAGCGGUGAAAUGCGCAGAUAUUAGGAGGAAUACCGGUGGCGAAGGCGACUUUCUGGCCAUAAACUGACGCUGAGGUACGAAAGCGUGGGUAGCAAACAGG
rnacentral:rRNA from 1 species